rnacentral:rRNA from 1 species
UUAACUGAAUCCAUAGGUUAAUGAGGCGAACCGGGGGAACUGAAACAUCUAAGUACCCCGAGGAAAAGAAAUCAACCGAGAUUCCCCCAGUAGCGGCGAGCGAACGGGGAGGAGCCCAGAGCCUGAAUCAGUGUGUGUGUUAGUGGAAGCGUCUGGAAAGGCGCGCGAUACAGGGUGACAGCCCCGUACACAAAAAUGCACAUAUUGUGAGCUCGAUGAGUAGGGCGGGACACGUGGUAUCCUGUCUGAAUAUGGGGGGACCAUCCUCCAAGGCUAAAUACUCCUGACUGACCGAUAGUGAACCAGUACCGUGAGGGAAAGGCGAAAAGAACCCCGGCGAGGGGAGUGAAAAAGAACCUGAAACCGUGUAC